UGGGGAAUAUUGCACAAUGGGCGCAAGCCUGAUGCAGCCAUGCCGCGUGUAUGAAGAAGGCCUUCGGGUUGUAAAGUACUUUCAGCGGGGAGGAAGGGAGUAAAGUUAAUACCUUUGCUCAUUGACGUUACCCGCAGAAGAAGCACCGGCUAACUCCGUGCCAGCAGCCGCGGUAAUACGGAGGGUGCAAGCGUUAAUCGGAAUUACUGGGCGUAAAGCGCACGCAGGCGGUUUGUUAAGUCAGAUGUGAAAUCCCCGGGCUUAACCCGGGAAUUGCAUCUGAUACUGGUCAGCUCGAGUCUUGUAGAGGGGGGUAGAAUUCCAUGUGGAGGGGUGAAAUGCGUAGAGAUGUGGAGGGAUACCGGUGGCGAAGGCGGCCCCCUGGACAAAGACUGACGCUCAGGUGCGAAAGCGUGGGGAGCAAACAGG
rnacentral:rRNA from 1 species